rnacentral:rRNA from 1 species
GACGAACGCUGGCGGCGUGCUUAACACAUGCAAGUCGAACGGAAAGGCCCUGCUUUUGUGGGGUGCUCGAGUGGCGAACGGGUGAGUAACACGUGAGUAACCUGCCCUUGACUUUGGGAUAACUUCAGGAAACUGGGGCUAAUACCGGAUAGGAGCUCCUGCUGCAUGGUGGGGGUUGGAAAGUUUCGGCGGUUGGGGAUGGACUCGCAGCUUAUCAGCUUGUUGGUGGGGUAGUGGCUUACCAAGGCUUUGACGGGUAGCCGGCCUGAGAGGGUGACCGGCCACAUUGGGACUGCGAUACGGCCCAGACUCCUACGGGAGGCAGCAGUGGGGAAUAUUGCACAAUGGGCGGAAGCCUGAUGCAGCAACGCCGCGUGCGGGAUGACGGCCUUCGGGUUGUAAACCGCUUUCGCCUGUGACGAAGCGUGAGUGACGGUAAUGGGUAAAGAAGCACCGGCUAACUACGUG